ensembl:lncRNA
CACCAAUGUCUCCGGGAAGGGGUGUGAGGGGCCAGGGGCCCCAUAAUGAGGGAGGCUGAGUGCUUCCCCAAAGGAAGCGGGGCCAUUCUCUUUGCAACCCCAUUUAGUUUCUCCUUUCCCUCUUCCCAGCAAAGCAGACUGUGAUGGGCAUUUAAGAAUAACAAUCCGCUGGGAGCUGUGUGGAUCUACUGCUGGAGGAAGGAAGGAAGUCAGGGGACGGAGUGCAUGGAUUUGGCUGCUCUGGGCCCAGAUUCCCAAAUGGCCACAACCAGCUGGCACUGAGCGUUGCUGCCACCUUAAGACAGGGCUUUGCCCUCCAACUGGACCCAGCCCCUACCUGGCCUGCUCCAGCCUGUGACCUUACCUGCCUGGCCUCUGCAGGCCCUGGGGGAUCCCUCACGGGUCUACUUGGGGUAAGGACGGGAGGCCCCAGAGAAGACUGGGAGCCCAGGAAAUGGCCCUUACUGCGGGCUCUCCUUUGGCCCUUCAUUGGCUGAAAUGUGUUCCAAGUCACCCCAAUGUGACAGGAAGUGACAAGACAAUAACUAAUAGCAGCUACCAUUUAUUGGGUGCCCUCUGCAUGCUGGACACCAGGCUCCAUUUAAUCCUUUAAUCCUCCCAACCCUCCUAUCCAGGCAUUAUUGUUGCCACUGAACUGACGGAGAAACUGAGGCUCAGAGAGCUUAGGUAACCUGCCCGGUUGACACAUUAGCAAGUGGCAGAGCCUGGAUCCCAACCGAGCUCUGAGUGCUCUGCCCCACUGCCCACUGCCUGCAGGAGCAACAGGACCUGCUCAUUUGCAUAUUAACCUCACCUGGCGGGUAUUGGAAGCUGCAGCCCACCUCAGCCUGCCCUUCCACGUGGAGAUAGCACGCCAGAAUGGUUGAAAGCAGGGCUUUGGUGUUAGACAGACCUGAGCUCAAAUCCCAACCCCUGUUAAUACCAUUUACUAGCUAUGUGACCUAAGGCAAGUGACUCAACCUCUCUGAGCCUCAGCUUCCUCAUCUGUGAAAUGGGAAGGAUACCAACACCUACCGCUUAGGGCAAUUGGAGGAUUGAGAGUGCAUUCAAAUGCUGUAUCCGUCAGCUCUUUGGGGGCAGGCACAAGAAAGAGAGUCUGGCUAAAAAGGGAGCGAGAAAGAUAGAAGGACAUGGAAUGCUCAGAAUCCAAAGAAAAACUGAAGAACCGUGGAGCUCCAGGAAUCAAGAGAGCAGGAAACAUGGACAACCUUGUCAUGGGGCCACCACUGGAACAAAGAGGCUCCAACCUCAUUUUCCCCCCUCAUUUAUUCAGUGUCCUGGGAGAUUGGCCCACCUUGGGUCACAUUCCUACCUGGGUUAUGUCAGGUUUCCUGGAAGCAGAGCUUGAGACAAGGAUUCUUGUGCAAUCUGUUUGUUGAGUGUGCUGGCAGGAGAAGAGGAGGCGGGUAGCAGGAUUGGUGGGGGAAGAAGCUGGUUAAAGAUGUGGUUUCAGGAGACAUGGAGUCUCAGUCUGAUUCCAUGGGCAGCGCCGGAGCAUUGACGGCACCACAUAGCUUGUGCCCCCUUGAGGCCAGGGGCCCAGGUUUACCCUACAUUAGUCAGUCAUUAACCACAGGCCACCCCCAGGGGGAGAGGUGUAACCACUCAGGUAGCACCAGGUAAUUCACCUGGGACAAUCCUUCCAAGAAGGAGGCAGCUGAGCCCUUAGCAUUCCACAUUCUCAGUGUCAGGGAGAGGUUGUACCAGCUCAGAAAGGGAGUCUGGGCGGGGCCAAGAGCAUCUGCUGCAUCCCCAUCACUGAAUGUCCCAACAGCCCACACACAACGAGGAAGAGGUAAUUACUUGAAAAGAAAUCAGG